UACGGGGGGGGCAAGCGUUGUUCGGAAUUACUGGGCGUAAAGGGCUCGUAGGUGGCCAACUAAGUCGGACGUGAAAUCCCUCGGCUUAACCGGGGAACUGCGUCCGAUACUGGUUGGCUUGAGUUUGGGAGAGGGAUGCGGAAUUCCCGGUGUAGAGGUGAAAUUCGUAGAUAUCGGGAGGAACACCAGUGGCGAAGGCGGCGAUCUGGGAAGAUACUGACGCUGAGGUGCGAAAGCGUGGGGAGCAAACAGG
rnacentral:rRNA from 1 species